CGUCGCUGGCGGCACGCCUAACACCAUGCAGUUGAACGAAGUAGCAAUACUUAGUGGCAGACGGGUGAGUAACAUGUAGGUAUCUGCCCUUUGGCCGUGGAAUAACACGAGGAAACUUGUGCUAAUACCGGAUAAGUCUUUACGGAGAAAGCUUUAUGCACCAUUGGAUGAGCCUGCACUUGAUUAGUUUGUUGGUGGGGUAAUGGCCUACCAAGACUGUGAUCAAUAGCUGAUUUGAGAGGAUGAUCAGCCACAUUGGGACUGAGACACGGCCCAAACUCCUACGGGAGGCAGCAGUGGGGAAUCUUGCACAAUGGAGGAAACUCUGAUGCAGCGAUGCCGCGUGAGUGAAGAAGGCCCUUGGGCUGUAAAGCUCUUUCGUCGGGGAAGAAAAUGACUGUACCCGAAUAAGAAGGUCCGGCUAACUUCGUGCCAGCAGCCGCGGUAAUACGAAGGGACCUAGCGUAGUUCGGAAUUACUGGGCUUAAAGAGUUCGUAGGUGGUUGAAAAAGUUAGUGGUGAACAUCCCAGAGCUUAACUCUGGAACUGCCAUUAAAACUUUUUCAGCU
rnacentral:rRNA from 1 species